AUGAGUGAAUGCCGUGUACUACUGCGCAACAGAGAGUAUGCAGAGUACCUUCUUCACAAGUGGAAUCGUCAGUUAUGGCAAGAACAUCAUGAAUUCAUGAUUCCAUUUCCCCAGCAGCAAGAGAGACAAAAAAGGAGAACACACAAGUACCUUGAUGAGGGACCAAAGAUCAAGUUGAUAUCUUCCCUUCACUUCUUUCUCCUCCCUCCCCAAGAAAAUAACAGGCAACCAGCAGAACUCUUCCUCCUCCCGCAGGCCCGGAGCACCUGCCUCCCCAGUCAGCAGCGCGCCAGAGAACAACGGAGCUCCCCGGCGAGCCGUGCCGGCGACGACGUCGGCGGAGCAGGCGGCCCCAUCAACCGGAGAGAAGCUCUGCUGCCUCAGGCCCUCCGCACAAGGUCUGCCUCCCCCUCAAAUCUCAUCCCUGGCCGAUGA
rnacentral:rRNA from 1 species